rnacentral:rRNA from 1 species
GGCGGCGUGCCUAACAAUGCAAGUCGAACGCCCUUGCGCAAGCAAGGGAGUGGCGGACGGGUGAGUAACGCGUGGGUGGACCUACCCUUAGGUGAGGAAUACCACCGGGAAACCGGUGACAAUACCGCAUAUCUUUGGCGACAAAGAAAGCUCUCGCAAGAGGGCGCCUGAGGAUGGGCCCGCGUCCGAUUAGCUAGUUGGUGGGGUAAAGGCCUACCAAGGCGACGAUCGGUAGCUGGUCUGAGAGGACGAUCAGCCACACUGGGAUUGAGAACGGCCCAGACUCCUACGGGGGGCAGCAGUGAGGAAUUUUCGUCAAUGGGGGAAACCCUGAACGAGCAACGCCGCGUGCAGGAAGAAGGUUUUCGGAUCGUAAACUGCUUUUCUCUGGGACGAGAAGGGACGGUACCAGAGGAACAAGCCCCGGCUAACUACGUGCCAGCAGCCGCGGUAAUACGUAUGGGGCGAGCGUUGUCCGGAGUUACUGGGCGUAAAGGGCACGCAGGCGGUCUAGCAAGUUUGGAGUGACAGUGUCGAGC